rnacentral:rRNA from 1 species
UACCAGCACCCCGAGUGGUCGGGACGAUUAUUGGGCCUAAAGCAUCCGUAGCCGGUUCUACAAGUCUUCCGUUAAAUCCACCUGCUUAACAGAUGGGCUGCGGAGGAUACUAUAGAGCUAGGAGGCGGGAGAGGCAAGCGGUACUUAGUGGGUAGGGGUAAAAUCCGUUGAUCCAUUGAAGACCACCAGUGGCGAAGGCGGCUUGCCAGAACGCAC